rnacentral:sRNA from 1 species
ACCAGAGUCGUCGCUUGGUCCAGGGC